GUUGAAAAUACCAAGGCGCUUGAGAGAACUCAGGAGAAGGAACUCGGCAAAUUGAUACCGUAACUUCGGGAGAAGGUAUGCCCCGGUGGCUUGUAGUCGUACAGACGAAGGGCGAUGGGGCCGCAGAGAAUCGGUGGCUGCGACUGUUUAAUAAAAACACAGCACUCUGCAAACACGAAAGUGGACGUAUAGGGUGCGACGCCUGCCCGGUGCCGGAAGGUUAAUUGAUGGGGUGCAAGCUCUUGAUCGAAGCCCCGGUAAACGGCGGCCGUAACUAUAACGGUCCUAAGGUAGCGAAAUUCCUUGUCGGGUAAGUUCCGACCUGCACGAAUGGCGUAACGAUGGCCACACUGUCUCCUCCUGAGACUCAGCGAAGUUGAAAUGUUUGUGAAGAUGCAAUCUCCCCGCGGCUAGACGGAAAGACCCCAUGAACCUUUACUGUAGCUUUACAUUGGACUUUGACGGGACUUGUGUAGGAUAGGUGGGAGGCUUUGAAGCCGGGACGCUAGUUCCGGUGGAGCCAACCUUGAAAUACCACCCUGGUGUCGUUGAGGUUCUAACCUUGAUCCGUGAAUCCGGAUCGGGGACCGUGUAUGGUGGGCAGUUUGACUGGGGCGGUCUCCUCCCAAAGAGUAACGGAGGAGUACGAAGGUCUUCUAGGUACGGUCGGACAUCGUACUGAUAGUGCAAUGGCAAAAGAAGGCUUGACUGCGAGACCCACAAGUCGAGCAGGUGCGAAAGCAGGUCAUAGUGAUCCGGUGGUUCUGUAUGGAAGGGCCAUCGCUCAACGGAUAAAAGGUACUCUGGGGAUAACAGGCUGAUUCCGCCCAAGAGUUCACAUCGACGGCGGAGUUUGGCACCUCGAUGUCGGCUCAUCACAUCCUGGGGCUGUAGCCGGUCCCAAGGGUAUGGCUGUUCGCCAUUUAAAGUGGUACGUGAGCUGGGUUUAAAACGUCGUGAGACAGUUUGGUCCCUAUCUGCCGUGGGCGUUGGAAGUUUGAGGGGACCUGCUCCUAGUACGAGAGGACCGGAGUGGACAGAUCUCUGGUGUACCGGUUGUCACGCCAGUGGCAUCGCCGGGUAGCUAAAUCUGGAAGAGAUAACCGCUGAAAGCAUCUAAGCGGGAAACUCGCCUCAAGAUGAGACUUCCCUGGGGAUUCGAUCCCCCUGAAGGGUCGUUCAAGACCAGGACGUUGAUAGGUCAGGUGUGGAAGC
rnacentral:rRNA from 1 species